GCCUGGCAUGAACACCUCAUUUCACCUUUGCCAACUGCUCUAUCCUCACCCUCUGUGAGUAGGCUAGGCUCCCGUCUCAAAGCUGGACUACUGCAACAACAUUUUGAAAAGUGGUGUUAAUUGUGAAUGUUUAUAUCCUUGCCAUGAAAAGGGUCCUGGUCUCCCUAAGCUGCUCCCCCCUUCUCCUGUUCGUUGGCAGUCACCUUAGAGCAAAGGAGUCAGCAAAUAGUAAAUAUCUCAGACCUUCAGUGGGCUCUCUGUGUGUUGCAACUACCCAUUCUGCCAGUUAAAUCCAAGAACAGACACAGAAAGCAAGCAAGUAUGCAGUGGAUUAAGAGGGAUGUGAAGGCAACAAGCUGAACAAAACUCUCCAACAGCAUGAAGUCCUCAGGACAUCUUUGGUGCUCUGCCUCUCCUAGGCACAUCCAUCAUCAUGGCCA